CCUGUUGUAGUGAACCUUGUAGCUCCACUAGAGGGCGACAUUAUCAAGUAGGAGGUGCACUACUUGUGCACUGUGUUCAACCAUUCAGUCAAUAAGAAGUGGAGCUGUGAAGAGAACAAUUCUCAGACUGGAUGUUGAACAUCAGCUAGUUUCUCCUGUUGAUUUAAACCUUGUUGUAGAGAUGGAACAUUGGCUGGGGAUUAUUCUUGCUGCUCUUUUCUUUGAGUGUAAAGGAGAAGACAGAGUGAUCCAGCCACCAGGAGAUGUCAUUACUACUGAAGGAGAGACAUUUACUCUUGGCUGUACAUUUGAGACCACUGCCUCCUAUUCUUAUUUGUUCUGGUACAAACAACAAGAAAAUAGCUCUCCAAAGUUUAUGCUAAGUGUCUACUCUGGAGCAAAAGAUGCUGAAGAUAUUCCCAAAGGAAGAAUUUAUUCUACAGUCAAGGAUAAGACAGUUCCUCUGAAGAUCUCUCAGCUAAGCUGUCUGACUCUGCUGGUGUACUACUGUGCUCUGAGGCCCACAGUGACAGGAAACACCAAAACUCUGUACAAAAACCUUUGGAGCAAAGACACA